rnacentral:rRNA from 1 species
ACGGAGAUUACAGGCGGAAGUUUUCGGAUGGAAGCUUGUAAACUUAGUGGCGGACGGGUGAGUAACACGUGAGCAACCUGCCUAUCAGAGGGGGAUAACGAUUGGAAACGAUCGCUAAUACCGCAUGACAUAGCGGAAUCGCAUGGUUCUGUUAUCAAAGAUUUUAUCGCUGAUAGAUGGGCUCGCGUCCGAUUAGAUAGUUGGUGGGGUAACGGCCUACCAAGUCGACGAUCGGUAGCCGGACUGAGAGGUCGAACGGCCACAUUGGGACUGAGACACGGCCCAGACUCCUACGGGAGGCAGCAGUGGGGGAUAUUACACAAUGGGGGAAACCCUGAUGCAGCGACGCCGCGUGAGGGAAGACGGUCCUCUGGAUUGUAAACCUCUGUCUUCGGGGACGAAACGAGACGGUACCCGAGGAGGAAGCCACGGCUAACUACGUGCCAGCAGCCGCGGUAAUACGUAGGUGGCAAGCGUUGUCCGGAAUUACUGGGUGUAAAGGGAGCGUAGGCGGGCAGGCAAGUCAGGCGUGAAAUAUAUCGGCUCAACCGGUAACGGCGCUUGAAACUGCAGGUCUUGAGUGAAGUAGAGGUUGGCGGAAUUCCUAGUGUAGCGGUGAAAUGCGUAGAUAUUAGGAGGAACACCAGUGGCGAAGGCGGCCAACUGGGCUUUU